rnacentral:lncRNA from 1 species
GACUUCUGUGUGUGGAGUUUGCCUCGGUCGCAAGCUGCGAUGCCGCAGUGGCUCAGUGCUUCCUGGCCGAGAACGACUGGGAGAUGGAAAGGGCUCUGAACUCCUACUUCGAGCCUCCGGUGGAGGAGAGCGCCUUGGAACGCCGACCUGAAACCAUCUCUGAGCCCAAGACCUAGUAAGUGAUGAGGGGAGCGGGAGCCAGUCCGCACGGAGGCAGUUUGAUACCAGGUAGCCCUGCGCGUCCUGGGACCUGCCGUGGAGCUGGGCGGACGAUGCUGAGGCAGAUCUCCAAGCUGCGUAGCCAGAGGAGCAGGGCUUGCGUUGCUGCUGCUGCGCGGAGUUGCGCCCCAGCAGCGGAUCUAACACUGCACCAGACUGUCGCUUCGAACGUGAUUUGGGGUCCAGGGAGGAAAAGAUGGAAAUGUAAUGUUUAACUCAAAUGAAAGGAAAUAAGUAAGCGAGAGGUUUGAAACAAAUGAACGAAGGCUAAACCUUCUAUCGAAAAAUGGCAACUUGGAAGUCUCCUUGCUUCCUGUAUUGUUUAUUUAUUCUAGGCCCUAGGCUGACCGGCCAGAAUAACAGGUUUGUUGUUGUUGUUAUUUUUUUUUAAUGCACACCUACUCCUGUUAUUUCAGUGCCCCUCUCCAGUUCCUGCACUUAAAAAGUGUAGCUGCCUUACAAGGCCCUCUACUAUUUGGCUCCAUAACUUAGAAC